rnacentral:rRNA from 1 species
UUCGCAAUGCCCGAAAGGGUGACGAAGCGACGCCGCGUGUGGGAAGAAGGCCUUCGGGUUGUAAACCACUGUCGGGAGUUAAGAAAUGCAAGGAUAUGAAUAGUGUCUUUGCUUGACUAAGGCUCCGGAGGAAGCCACGGCUAACUCUGUGCCAGCAGCCGCGGUAAUACAGAGGCGGCAAGCGUUGUUCGGAAUUAUUGGGCGUAAAGAGCACGUAGGCGGCUAUGUAAGUCGGUCGUGAAAGCCUUCCGCUCAACGGGAGAACAGCAUCCGAUACUACAUGGCUUGAGUGCGGGAGGGGAGAGUGGAACUUCUGGUGGAGCGGUGAAAUGCGUAGAUAUCAGAAGGAACGCCGGCGGCGAAAGCGGCUCUCUGGCCCAUAACUGACGCUGAGUGUGCGAAAGCUAGGGGAGCAAACGGGAUUAGAUACCCCGGUAGUCCUAGCCGUAAACGAUGGGCACUAAGUAGAGGGGUUUU